GGAUAACAUACCGAAAGGUAUGCUAAUACGGGAUAAUAUAUUUGAGAGGCAUCUCUUAAAUAUCAAAGGUGAGCCAGUACAGGAUGGACCCGCGUCUGAUUAGCUAGUUGGUAAGGUAACGGCUUACCAAGGCGACGAUCAGUAGCCGACCUGAGAGGGUGAUCGGCCACAUUGGAACUGAGACACGGUCCAAACUCCUACGGGAGGCAGCAGUGGGGAAUAUUGCACAAUGGGCGAAAGCCUGAUGCAGCAACGCCGCGUGAGUGAUGAAGGCCUUCGGGUCGUAAAACUCUGUCCUCAAGGAAGAUAAUGACGGUACUUGAGGAGGAAGCCCCGGCUAACUACGUGCCAGCAGCCGCGGUAAUACGUAGGGGGCUAGCGUUAUCCGGAUUUACUGGGCGUAAAGGGUGCGUAGGCGGUCUUUCAAGUCAGGAGUGAAAGGCUACGGCUCAACCGUAGUAAGCUCUCGAAACUGGGAGACUUGAGUGCAGGAGAGGAGAGUGGAAUUCCUAGUGUAGCGGUGAAAUGCGUAGAUAUUAGGAGGAACACCAGUUGCGAAGGCGGCUCUCUGGACUGUAACUGACGCUGAGGCACGAAAGCGUGGGGAGCAAACAGGAUUAGAUACCCGGGUAGUCCACGCUGUAAACGAUGAAUAGUAGGUGUCGGGGGUUACCCCCUUCGGUGCCGCA
rnacentral:rRNA from 1 species